UAAAUCCUACGGGGCGCAGCAGUGGGGAAUAUUGCACAAUGGGCGAAAGCCUGAUGCAGCGACGCCGCGUGCGGGAUGGAGGCCUUCGGGUUGUAAACCGCUUUUGUUCAAGGGCAAGGCACGGUCUUUGGCCGUGUUGAGUGGAUUGUUCGAAUAAGCACCGACUAACUACGUCUCAGCAGCAGCGGUAAUACGUAGGGUGCAAGCGUUAUCCGGAUUUAUAGGGAGUAAAGGGAUCGUAGGCGGUUGGUCGC
rnacentral:rRNA from 1 species